rnacentral:rRNA from 1 species
GGACCCGCACAAGCGGUGGAGCAUGUGGUUUAAUUCGAUGCAACGCGAAAAACCUUACCUAUACUUGACAUACUUGGAAUGCUUUGUAAUGAAGCAGUGCCUUCGGGAGCCAGGAUACAGGUGCUGCAUGGCUGUCGUCAGCUCGUGUCGUGAGAUGUUCCGUUAAGUCGGAUAACGAGCGCAACCCUUACCCUUAUUUGCCAGCGAUUCGGUCGGGAACUAUAAGGGGACUGCCGGUGAUAAACCGGAGGAAGGUGAGGACGACGUCAAGUCAUCAUGGCCCUUACGUAUAGGGCUACACACGUGCUACAAUGGGGCGUACAGAGGGUUGCAAACCCGCAAGGGGGAGCUAAUCCCACAAAGCGCGUCGUAGUCCGGAUUGUUCUCUGCAACUCGAGAACAUGAAGUCGGAAUU